GGUGCCAGCAGCCGCGGUAAUUCCAGCUCCAAUAGCGUAUAUUAAAGUUGCUGCAGUUAAAAGCUCGUAGUUGAAUUUCGGACCGAUAUAUCGGUCGUGCCUCGGUACGUACUGGUAUUUUCGGUUUCUCCCUUCUGACGAACCUUGAUGUCAUUAAUUUGGUGUCUUGGGGAAUCAGGACUGUUACUUUGAAAAAAUUAGAGUGUUUAAAGCAGGCUCACGCUUGAAUACAUUAGCAUGGAAUAAUGAAAUAGGACGUUUGAUUCUAUUUUGUUGGUUUCUAGGAUCGACGUAAUGAUUAAUAGGGAUAGUUGGGGGCAUUAGUAUUCAAUUGUCAGAGGUGAAAUUCUUGGAUUUAUUGAAGACUAACUACUGCGAAAGCAUUUGCCAAGGAUGUUUUCAUUAAUCAAGAACGAAAGUUAGGGGAUCGAAGACGAUCAGAUACCGUCGUAGUCUUAACCAUAAACUAUGCCGACUAGGGAUCGGAUGAUGUUAAUUUUUUAAUGACUCAUUCGGCGCCUUACG
rnacentral:rRNA from 1 species